GGUUCUCCCUAAACAGCGGGCGGUCUGAGCCCAGUAUCAGGCUCCCUAGCCCAGGGGCCCUGUGCUUAAAAAAUAAGCCCCCAAAGACAUUUAGCUCUGAAAGCCAGCAGGGCUUACUUUCAGGAGUUCCAGAGGGCUGAGGGAAAUAGAGAUUCCACUCUAAAGGACGCACACAAAAUCUUACAUUCCGGGAUCCAAGGCAGAAGCAGAGAUUUGAAAGGAGCCUGGAUGAAACCUACCUGAUGAUCUCAGAAGGUCUCCUGGAGAGGCGGGAGGCAACUGGAGCUCACCCUGGGAACACGGACACUGGGAGCAGACAUUUGGGGAGUUUAUUCUGCCAUGUGGCCCCUGGUACUGGCAGCCUUCAUUGUGGAAUCCACCCUCCAGUUCAUUAACCUCAGGACUCAGCCGAAAAUCCACCCAACUGCCUGUAGGGACCAGUACUGGGACAUCUCAAGUCAAGCAACUUACUGGGCAGAACUAAUGAACAGACCCACCCCCAAGUUUCUCAUUAGCAAGAGGAAAUGGAAUUACUAAGAUUGCAGGAACUAACCAAGGUCCAUUCCUGAAACUCACCUCCCCUGAGCAUGUGUCUAGCAUAAAUUUAAGAAAAAGAAAGCAGUGGCUCAUGGGUAGGUAACAAUGGAGGCUUGAAAAGUGCACAAGAUCAUAGGAUCAUAACACAAACUGUUUUUUUUUUUUUUCGUUUCUUGAUUUGCCAAGCUUUUAAGCCAACAAAUUUGAAACACACACACACAUCCCAAGUGGUGCUACUGGUAAGGAAAAAAUCCGCCUGCCAGUGCAGGAGACACAGAGACAAGGGUUCGAUCCCUGAGUUGGGAAGAUCUCCUAGAGGAAGAAAUGGCACCCCACUCCAGUGUUCUUGCUUGGGAAAUUCCAUGAGCAGAGGAGCCUGGUCCAUGGGGCCACAAAGAGCUGGGCACUACUGAGCGACUAGGCACAUAUGCCAACAAAUUCGAAACACACAGGCUUCCCUCACGGGAGUUACAGCAGGAAAAAAACUCGAAGGUGAGACUGGCCAUUCAUCCUUGGGGGCGUCACACAGAUUGACUUGGUUGGUGAAGCAAGACCAUGGCAGAGAGUGAUGGAAGAGGAAGUUGGAGCAAUAGGGCCCGCUGUGUCUUUGAAUAUGACGCUAUGGCAUUGGGAGGAUUCACAAAGAAUGGUACCUGCACAUACAUGCCAGCCUAACGAAAAGCAGAGACAACGGACCGUCUCAUGCAUCCGAGGUACUCUGCCUAAAUUAUCUUUGAUCUAUUGGCACAUCUUUUAUGAUCUACUAAAAAAUUAAAUUUUUCAUUCAUCUAUUGUAUUCAACAAGCGCAAGUCACAAGCCCGGAUUAUUAAUGAUGUCAGAUCUUGUAUUACUGAAACAAAUGCAUAAAGGUUCCAUUUCUGAUGACAAAAAGAGAGUCAUUUGUUUCAAUCAUGGAAGACAAUCUUAUUAAACAUUGCCAACUCACUGCCAAGCUGGCUGGUCACCAAGGCACAGACACAGAACAAAUGGAAUCGAGAAGCCUGUCAAUCUUCUGACAGUGUCACUGUCCCCAAAAUAGUAGACUUAGGGAGAGAUCAAUCUAUGAUGACAUGGACGCUUUUACUUCUUAAUUCUGGAGCCUUUCAAGUUCAGCGUUUUCAUAAUCCUUUCAUGUAGCAGCUCAGCUGUUUGGCAAAUACUAGUGACGCUGGGUCAAAUGGUCUGAUCUGCACAGAACCUGUAUACAUAUUCAGAUGAACUGACCUAACCUUUCAGAAACGUCAUUUAGGUAAAUAGAUAAAGCGUCUUAAAAAUAUGUCUACCCUUUGACCCAGUGAUUUUACUUCUGUCUAAGGAAAUAAUCUGGAAUGCAAAAAAAGGCACUAUGACCAAGGAUGUCCAUUACUGCUGCUCUUACGGCUGAAAACAAAGGAGCCAACCAAUUUUCCAACAGGAGGAGCAUGAUGUAAUAAAGUACAUUUCAGCCACAGGAAAAAAUGCUUUUGAUGUGUUCAGUUCAGUGCAGUUCAGCUGCUCAGUCGUGUCUGACUCUUUGCGACUCCACAGACUGCAGCACGCCAGGCUUCCCCGUCCAUCACCAACUCCCACAACUUGCUCACAUUCAUGUCCAUUGAGUCGGUGAUGCCAUCCAACCAUCUCAUCCUCUGUUGUCCCCUUCUUAUCCUGCCUUCAAUCUUUCCCAGCAUCAGAGUCUUUCCCAAUGAGUCAGUUCUUGGCAUCAGGUAGC
ensembl:lncRNA